CUCCAAAACAACAGAGAAAAGGGAUUCCGGGAGGCGGCGUCCGGAGAGAGGAGGGAAGAGCCGAGGGGGCGGCGCGGGGUGGGAAGAGGCGGGAGGGAGGAGCGGCGGCCGGGACUCGGGCGAACUCCGCGGCGCUUUGGCCCGGCUCCGCCCCCCCGCCGGCCCCCGCGCCCGCCCCGACCCGCCGAGGUUAGGGGCCCGCGCGCCUGGAGCACCCCCACCCCGCGGGGACCCCUCGCCGGAGAGCCUGGAGCACCCCCACCCCGCGGGGACCCCUCGCCGGAGCUCCUGGAGCACCCCCACCCCGCGGGGACCCCUCGCCCGAGCGCCUGGAGCACCCCCACCCCGCGGGGACCCCUCGCCCGAGCGCCUGGAGCACCCCCACCCCGCGGGGACCCCUCGCCGGAGCUCCUGGAGCACCCCCACCCCGCGGGGACCCCUCGCCGGAGCUCCUGGAGCACCCCCACCCCGCGGGGACCCCUCGCCCGAGCGCCUGGAGCACCCCCACCCCGCGGGGACCCCUCGCCCGAGAGCCUGGAGCACCCCCACCCCGCGGGGACCCCUCGCCCGAGCGCCUGGAGCACCCCCACCCCGCGGGGACCCCUCGCCGGAGCUCCUGGAGCACCCCCACCCCGCGGGGACCCCUCGCCGGAGCUCCUGGAGCACCCCCACCCCGCGGGGACCCCCUCCCCCGGCCCCCCGCGCUCGCGCUCGCUCCCCGACCCGCCGAGGUUAGGGGCCCGAGCCUCCAGGAGCCCCCCGCGCGGGGACCCCUGGCCGGAGCGCCUAGAGUCCCCCCCGCCGCCGCCUCGCCCCCGGGGCUCCGUCAGCCGCCGCCUUCCCCUCGACGCAGUGGAGGAAAAGUCCGAAAGUUUGCAAAGUGAGGGCUGGCGGGGAGGCCGCGGCGGCCGAGCCCCAGGGAGGGGCCGAGGGAGGGCGCCCGACCGCCGCCGCCGCCGCUCUCCCGUCCCCCUGCUCCUCCACCCCCACUCGGGCGAGACUGGGCGAAACUGGGCCGGGGCGCAGCCUGGGGAUCGCUGGUGGGGGGGGGGGCAGGGUGAGCUAGCCCCCGAGCUAGCAGCGCCCUCUGGGAAGAAGCUUGAGGCUCCGAUCCCGUAG
rnacentral:lncRNA from 1 species